UGGGGAAUAUUGGACAAUGGGGGAAACCCUGAUCCAGCGAUGCCGCGUGGGUGAAGAAGGCCUUCGGGUUGUAAAGCCCUUUAGGUUGGGAAGAAGAGUGGGAGAGGAAAUGCUUCUGCUUUGACGGUACCGACAGAAUAAGCACCGGCAAACUCUGUGCCAGCAGCCGCGGUAAUACAGAGGGUGCGAGCGUUAAUCGGAGUUACUGGGCGUAAAGGGCGCGUAGGCGGUUAUAUGAGUGUGAUGUGAAAGCCCCGGGCUUAACCUGGGAAGUGCGUCGCAAACGAUAUAACUGGAGUAGAUGAGAGGGUGGCGGAAUUUCCGGUGUAGCGGUGAAAUGCGUAGAGAUCGGAAGGAACGUCGAUGGCGAAGGCAGCCACCUGGCAUCAUACUGACGCUG
rnacentral:rRNA from 1 species